AGCCAGUGAUGAAGGGGAGACCUCUGAACCAAUGCCUGGCGGUGGCAGGUCACACUAAGUGUCUCCAAACCUCGCAGAAAGGGGUACAGUGGGGUGCCCACAUCCAAGCAUCCUUCUUUUCUUUCCCAGCUCUGCUGCCGGGAUCAGCCCUUCCCAAGCAAAGCCCCAGCUCCAGUCUUCACUGACAUCUAGUGGCAGUGCUGACGCUUAGAGCUGGCAGGGGUUGCUGCUCGAAGCCAAAAUGAGCCUUCUUGCAGGUUCCCAUCCUGGGUGGGAUCCCACUUCCCCUGGGAAAAGCCACCCCCAAGCACACACCAUGUAAGGGACCGUGGAAACAGUGUCCCUGCCACCACUUCGGCUCUGCAGGAAGAGGAAAAUAUAAGCCUGUAAUCUCCAGCUGGCAGACACUGAGGAGAUAAGCUUCAGGUGUCUCCCGACGCUCACCGGGGAGUUUUGUUCUCCCACCUUAUCUCCACCUCCAGGUCACAUCAUCUUGGGGCUCAGCACAGUCCCUGGGGGGAGUGCAGAGCACUGCUGUCCCAUCCCUGCUCCGGACAGGGUGUCUGAGGGUGGGCUGUGAUCCCAAACCAUGCAGACAGCAGCGUGUUUCUCAGUGAUAACCCUUCUCCCAGCUCGUGCAGCUCAGCCACCACACGCAGACGCUGCUCCUGGACCACAAACCCAUCCUGGCACAAGCAUCCCUGGAAGGCCUUGAUAAUCAGGAAGAAACCAAUUUUCCCCACCUCCUCAGGCUGAACACCCGCAGUUCUACCAGAGCAGAAGGGCUGCAUCCCUUGGAGCAUCUGCAAGGCUGCAUCCCUUGGAGCAUCUGCAAGCCUGCGUCCCUUGGAGCAUCUGCAAGGCUGCAUCCCUUGGAGCAUCUCCGUGCCCUCCUCUGGACCAGCAGCUCCAAAACCAAACGGAGCGACACAGGGGUCUGUUCUCUGCCUCCCCCGAGCCGCUCCCGUCAGUGUUCCCCGCGUUCCCUGCCUGCCCCAGCCCCGGGCUCGUUCCCGGUCGUUCCCGGGGGAUCGCGAGCGGUCCCGGACCCCGUCCCGGUUGCAGUGCCGGCUCCCGCCGCGCGAGGGCGCUGUCUCUGGCGGGCCGCGCCCUCCGCGCCGCUCUGGCCCGCGGGCCCCUCUCGGUGGGUUUCCGGGCCGCGCUUCCGGCCGCGUGGCGGGCGGGGGGAUUUCCUGCCGGGGCCUCCGAGAAGCCACAGCCCCUGAUGGUGACAUGGGCGGGUGUGUUGGCACUUGGUGCUGCCAUUCCUGAGGGGAGGGAGGACCAGGAAAUUUACUCAUCCUUGCAUUUGCUGAGCCUCUUGGCUGAGACUGCUGUUUUUCUAAGGAUUGACUGAUCAGAUCCUGGCAGUCCUUUAAGUCACUUGAAGGGACGACUGGAAACAGGCUCUUCCCUGUGAGCUCUGAAGAUCAGACCUGCUGGACAGUAAGAAGUCAUAUUUGCUUCACUUUUCUUCACUCCCUGGGAUGCAAACAAAAGAAACCAGAGCAAGUUACUGCCUGCUGAAAUUCCAGGGGCUUGAACUACAUUCCAGCACAACGGAGAGGCAUUUUGAAUCUUUUCUUGGUAUGUGUCAGCCCUGCACUGCUCCCAGGCAACUGCACUUUAAGUUAGAUAUUAUUAAUUUUAAAGGUUUGACUACCAAUAGUUCUCAUUAAUUUCCAUGGCAACAUUGCCUGAAACAAGAUAACAAUUGCUUUGGGUUGUAUAACCGAAGUUCCUAACGUGAAGGAAUGCAAACCAGGAAAAGUGCUCAGAUGGAGGGAACUGACUGACCUUGCAUAACCUCCCUAGGGCCAAACUUCCCUUCCUAUCUAGCAAUCUGCAUUCCUAGUUUGCUGAAAAUAUUGAACAGUUUGCACUUUCAGUCUGUGUCCUCUGGGCUUCAUUCUCCCGCAUGCCUCACAGCUUCCCUGAAACAUUUCACCCACACGUUUAUUCCUUUAUAUUCCUGCUAACGACGCAUGGCUAGAGCUUUCAUAUGAGAUGUAACAGGGAUAUAAAUGAUAAUAGAAAAUUUUAAAACCA